rnacentral:rRNA from 1 species
GGUAACAGGUGUAGCAAUACAUGCUGACGAUGCGGCGAACGGGUGAGUAAUGCUUCGGAAUCUACCUAGUAGUGGGGAACAACUAACCGAAAGGUUAGCUAAUGCCGCAUACGACCUAUGGGUGAAAGCGGGGGAUCGCAAGACCUCGCGCUAUUGGAUGAGCCGAAGUCGGAUUAGCUAGUUGGUAGGGUAACGGCCUACCAAGGCGACAAUCCGUAGCUGGUCUGAGAGGACGACCAGCCACACUGGGACUGAGACACGGCCCAGACUCCUACGGGAGGCAGCAGUGGGGAAUAUUGGACAAUGGGGGAAACCCUGAUGCAGCGACGCCGCGUGGAGGAUGAAGGGUCUAGGCCUGUAAACUCCUUUUAUGGGGAAAGACUUAGGACGGUACCCCAUGAAUAAGGACCGGCUAACUACGUGCCAGCAGCCGCGGUAAGACGUAGGGUCCAAGCGUUGUCCGGAUUUACUGGGCGUAAAGAGCGCGUAGGCGGCUCGUUAAGUGUGAAGUGAAAUCUCUAGGGCUCAACCCAGAAACUGCUUUACAUACUGGCGAGCUAGAGGGAUGCAGAGGUUUGUGGAAUUCCUGGUGUAGCGGUGAAAUGCGUUGAUUCAGGAGGAACACCCAUG